CACACUACUCUGGACCACGGUGACCUUUUAAAUAUUCUGCAAAUUGAUUUCCAGGCCAUUCCCACUCUCCCUUGUUUAUAGCCUUGGUAACCCAGAAGAAAAUGAGACUGGCCAGCUGUGAUUCCUGCAUUUCUGUUCUCAUCAGUGCUCAGAAUUACAUUUCUUUCUCUCCCAAAGGCUUCAUGACAACGCUUACUGUUGAUCUAGAGAGCAGCAGCACCAAGAAUCUUCAAUAAGGACAAGUUUAAGAGCUAUAAGCAGUUGUGUGGACUCCUUAGAGCCUUCUGCCUGAGAUGAUGCUGCCAGAGGGCCCUUGCCAGAUAUUGCCACCUUGAUAUUAGACUUCCCAUCCUCCAAAACUUGAUCAAGUGUAAAAUGUACUAAAGAAGAGAUAUGUGGGGAACAAAGAGACCAAUUAGAAAACCAUAGGCUGAAGAAGUCACACCAUUCAUUUUGGGAGUUGUCCAUGUAAGAGUUUUCUCUCCUAUUAAAAAAAAAAAAAAGAGUUAAAAGCAACAUUCUUGCAUGCACCCAAAAGAGAGAAGCUAUUCCAAUUGAUCAGUGUCUGAGAUUCACUGAGCUUUGUCUUGCUAGUAAGCCUGAAUUCUAUUCCUUCACUAAAGAACUAUCCUGUCCCUCUUGUUUCUGUGGAAUAUGCACAGCAGAGCAGACAUUGCACAUCCUGCCCACUGAGGGGAAGGUGGAGGGGUAGAGGAAGCCUACAACUCUCUUCUCUAGUUUAUAUAAAAAUGGACAUACUAGGCAGCCUGUGGUCUUUGUGGGAAAGCUGAUUGGUCAAGUAUUUCAAAAAAUGCAUAGUUUUUGUGUGUGUCUGAGGACCAAAGUCCCAAUAUUAAUUCAUAUGGGAGGUAAGAGGCCCCUCCUCAAACCAA
rnacentral:lncRNA from 1 species